rnacentral:rRNA from 1 species
AUUGAACGCUGGCGGAAUGCUUUACACAUGCAAGUCGAGCGGCAGCGCGGGGCAACCUGGCGGCGAGCGGCGAACGGGUGAGUAAUGUAUCGGAACGUGUCCUUGAGUGGGGGAUAGCCCGGUGAAAACCGGAUUAAUACCGCAUACGCAGGAGACUGGAAAGCGGGGGAUCGCAAGACCUCGCGCUGGAGGAGCGGCCGAUAUCCGAUUAGCUAGUUGGCGGGGUAACGGCCAACCAAGGCGACGAUCCGUAGCUGGUCUGAGAGGACGAUCAGCCACACUGGAACUGAGACACGGUCCAGACUCCUACGGGAGGCAGCAGUGGGGAAUAUUGGACAAUGGGGGAAACCCUGAUCCAGCGACGCCGCGUGGGUGAAGAAGGCCUGCGGGUUGUAAAGCCCUUUCGGUAGGGACGAAAGCUCUCGACCUAACACGUCGGGAGGUUGACUUAACCUACAAAAGAAGCACCGGCUAACUCUGUGCCAGCCGCCGCCGUAAGAC